rnacentral:lncRNA from 1 species
ACCUGGCUUCAUCGGCUGAAGAGCUCAAGCUUCGCCAUCAACAGCUCAACCAUGAAGUCAGGACCCUGGAAAGUAAGUGUUUAGCCCUGCUCAAGGUAGUAAAACAUGUUGAGGACAAGGCUUCGCUGGUGCGCGAACAAUGUAUAGCGGAGUAUCAGGAGUCUGACGAGCUGAAAAGGAAGAUCGAGCAGGCCUGUGAGGCUCACCUUCAG